UACGGGGGGAGCAAGCGUUGUUCGGAUUUACUGGGCGUAAAGGGCGCGUAGGCGGCGUGACAAGUCACUUGUGAAAUCUCCGGGCUUAACCCGGAGCGGCCAAGUGAUACUGUCGUGCUAGAGUGCGGAAGGGGCUACUGGAAUUCUCGGUGUAGCGGUGAAAUGCGUAGAUAUCGAGAGGAACACCCGCGGCGAAGGCGGGUAGCUGGGCCGACACUGACGCUGGAGGCGCGAAAGCCAGGGGAGCGAACGGG
rnacentral:rRNA from 1 species